ensembl:lncRNA
GUGGGUCACUGGGGGUGUGGCCUGGAAGGGUUAUCUCCCUUCCCAGCUCCUCCCUUCACUCUCUGCUUCCUGUCCGCCAUGCCACAAGCAGCUCUUCUGCACUAUGCCUUGCUGCCCUGCUGUCCUGUCUUGCAGCCAGCUGACCACAGGCUAUAAACCAUGAGCCAAAAUGAACCUCUCUUCCUGUAAGUUGUGGAUAUCGGGUAUUGUGUUCCAGUGACAAGGAGAGAAAGACAGUAUGAGAUGCUGUUGUGAUGACAUCCACCAUGAGGUCCUCACCUGGGCCAAGCUGAUGCUGGGGCCAUGAUCUUGAACCUUCAGAACCAAGAACUAAAUAAACCUCCUUCCUUUAUGAAGCACUCAGUCUGAGGUAUUUUGUUACAGCAACACACAACUGACUGAAAGAGAAGGCAACUAUGUGAAAGGACUUGUUUUCAGCACUAAGCAAACACCCAUUGGUGGGAGUUGACUGCCAACGUGCAGAGUGGAGGUUUCCAAGCAACAGGUGAAGGAGGAGGAGCCUCCCAGCAGAGCAGGAAUGCGGGUGGUGGAGCAAGGCCAUGUGGAAAUCUGGGUCAGGAUUUCUUACUCACCUGGAGCCACCAGGUAAGGGAUAGCUAGUGGGCUGUCAUCCAGAGCUAUACCUAGGCCUGGACAAGAUGAAAACCCCAUCAUCAAGCACUAGGCACACCUCAC